CCUACGGGAGGCAGCAGUGGGGAAUAUUGGACAAUGGGGGAAACCCUGAUCCAGCGACGCCGCGUGAGUGAAGAAGUAUUUCGGUACGUAAAGCUCUAUUAGCAGGAAAGAAAAUGACGGUACCUGACUAAGAAGCCCCGGCUAAUGACGUGCCAGCAGCCGCGGUAAUAUGUAGGGGGCAAGCGUUAUCCGGAUUUACUGGGUGUAAAGGGUGUGUAGACGGCAGCGCAAGUCUGGAGUGAAAGGCCGGGGACGAACCCCGGAACUGCACUGGAAACCGGGAAGCUGGAGUGCAGGAGAGGUGAGCGGAAGUCGUGGUGUAGCGGUGAAAUGCGUAGAUAUCAGGAGGAACACCGGCGGCGAAGGCGGCUUACUGGACUGUAACUGACGUUGAGGCUCGAAGGCGUGGGGAGCAAACAGGAUUAGAUACCCUAGUAGUC
rnacentral:rRNA from 1 species